CCGCCUCCGCUCAGCCGCUCGUCGGGUUCCGCCGCCGUGGAAGGCAUACGGAGAGCCCGCGGGGGGUUCUAAGCUCUGUCUCCAGCUUAGCGCCCCUCGGCUGUGAAGGAGAGGUCUGAAGCCUUUACCCAUCGAUACUGAAGAACCUGAAAUAAUAGCUCUCACUCUCCCCAAGAGCACAUUCCAAAACUAUCCCUCGGGUUGUUAUUAGUACAUCAAGCUACACAAGAAAAAGAAGGCAGGAGCCAGAAGUUAGAUACAUUAUCUGUAAAGGAGACACCCUCUUUGGAAAGGCUCUUCCCUCUGGAGCAUGACACAGAUCAAUCUUCAUGCUUCUGAUCAUCUCUCUGUAAGAAUUGGUACCAGAUAAACCACAAACACUUAGUAUUUAAGCAAAACAGAGUCUGGGGGCAUUUAUGCUUGCAGUUCUCUCUGUAUGCUGCCUUUUUAUAUCUAUGCAAAAAUCACAUUAAAUGAUGGAUAAAAUGAUUGCAAAAGACCAAGAUCACAACAGACACUUGAAAAAGGGUAAGAGUGAAAUAUUUUAAACAAUAAAACAUUUUGUUCUCUGAA